rnacentral:lncRNA from 1 species
GAAAUUAUCAAACUUACUUUAAUUUGAAACAGUUAAGAUUUUUGUUUAAAUUUAUUUUUUGAACUGGUAAUAAUUUUACAUGUUUCAAAAUUCCAAAAAUAUAAAAUGAUAAAGAGUGAAAAUUAUUCCUCAUCACUGUCCUCCCAAUUCUUCUGGCCAACCAGUAUGCCACUUUUACCCUUUCAGAGAUUAUGUGUGUACAUAUAAACAAAUGUUUCUUAUUUAUUUAUUUAUUUUUGAGAUGGAGUUUCGCUCUUGUUGCCCAAGCUGGAGUGCAAUGGCACAAUAUUGGCUCACUGCAACCUCCACUUCCUGGGUUCAAGCGAUUCUCCUGCCUUAGCCUACGGAGUAGCUGGGAUUAGAAGUGUGCACCACCACACCCAGCUUUUGUAUUUUUAGUAGAGAUGGGGUUUCACCGUGUUGGUCAGGCUGGUCUUGAACUCCGGACCUCAGGUGAUCCACCCGCCUCGGCCUCCCAAAGUGCUGGGAUUACAGGCGUGAGUCACCUUGCCUAGCCUGUUUCUUCUUUACAUAAAUGGAAACAUACUCUACAGUUUGACACCUUGCUUUUAUCUACUUAACUAUCUUAGAGCUCUUUCUCACAUUAGUAUAGUUUGAGGAUCCCUAAUUCAAAAAUCUGAAAUCUGAAACACUUCUGGUCCUGAGCAUUUUGGAUAAGGGAUACUCAACCUGUAUAUAAAGAGUCUUCAUUUUUAAGGCUAUGAUCUCCAUUCCACCAUAAAUGACUUAGCCAGUUCCCCAUGGUGGACAUGGAGGGUUGUUUCCAAAUUCUGACUUUUAAAAUCAAUAGCAUAAUGAAAACCAUGUACAAACAGUCUGCACACAUACAAAUAUAUGUGUAGGAUUUAUUCCCAGCAAGUUUGGUGAGACAAAGGGUUUAUGUAUUUGUAAUUUAGUGACUGAUAAACUGCCCUUCAUAGAAGAUGUAUAAGAACCUUCCCACACCCCCUUUGAGAACUCAAGGCUUGUUGAGUUCCAGUUGAUUGCUUCAUCCCAGCUUACCACCCUGUGGGGCUGCUAUAACCUCAGCCAACCCCAUGCCCCCUCAGAGAAGUAUCAACUGUGACCCCUUCAGGACUGGCCAUUUUGGGGGCCAAGGUGGAGGGAAUGAGGCAAUCACAGGCCUGACUUCCAGAGCUGUCUAGAACCAUGCUGUCAUUUUUGGUCCCACUGCUUCAGAGGGGAGGAGCUUUCCUGUCUGGAUUCCCAAGCCUGUGCCCCAAACUGCUGGUGGAGCAGAAAGGAGGAAUGAUCCAGAAUAGGGUUUUGGUACCAGACUGUUUGGUUCACACUCUGGCUGGGCCACUUGGUAGCACAUUACUUCUCCUCUUAGGGCCAUCCUGCACUGUUGGUGGCAGUGGGGAUGAAGUAAGCAAAUCCGAAAUGUUUACAUGGCAAAAUCAACAGGACCUCUAACUCCAUGGAGUGGGGAAGGGGAGAGGUCAAGAAGACUGGUUUUCUGGCUUCCAUGAUGGGAUGGCAAGUGGAAACAGCCUCCAGGAAAGGGAUCAGGGAAGCAGAGACUAGUCUGGGUGGAAAAUGAGUUUUGUUUGGGGUAGGCUGGGUUUGGGGAGCUUUCGGCACACCUCGGGGAGUUGCCCAGUAGCACACAGCAGUUGUUUGGGUCUGAAGCCCAAAUCUCAGAAGCACCAGACUGAUUUGGUGGUGAGCAGCACAAAGCUAGGGAUGUAGAUGACACCUGGGGAGGGCGUGGAGCACAAGGUGGACUCUAGGACCCCAGCAUUUAGGAAGGGUGACGGGAGGUUGAGAAGUCCCUGAAGAGUUAGAAGGAACCCCACAAUGCAAGGAGAUGGAGCUCUGCAAAGAGGUUAGCAGGCUUCACAGUCCUGGGGAUGAAGAGAGACGACACCAGAGGUAGUACCUUGGACAGUGGUUGCAGUGGGUUCUGUGAAGCAGUGGGGGCGGACAGCAGGUCUGAGGUGUGAGCUGCCACCAAGGGAAUAGGGAGCACAAGCGAUUCUCCCAAGAGCUUGAAGGAGAAAAGCAGCAGAUACGGCUAGCUGCCUCCAUCAUCCACCAAGGGAAUAGGGAGCACAAGCAAUUCUCCCAAGAGCUUGAAGAGAAAAGCAGCAGCUACGGCUAGCUGCCUCCAUCAUCCACUUCCCAGGACUUUUCUCUCCCACCUGUCUCCACCACAGAGGUUAGAAAGGUAAAUACGAGGUUUCUAAGCCCCGUUGUUAUUAGGGGUGGCCCCCUGACCCAUCUGUGGCCAGUGAGACUAAGGGGGGCAUGUGCUGCAGGCUUCUGGGAAUGUUUUUCCUUUAAACACCAUCAGCGGUAAGUGUUGGCCUGCCCAUUCCCCCUUCUUUCAGUCUUCACUGUGGAUGCAAUGGCUGGAGCCAUAGGAGUCUCCUCAUGACCACAAUGGAAAGGUUGAGAGAUUGCAGAAAACAUCGACUGUGACACAGCUGAGCCACUGAAAAGACAGCCUUUGAACAAAGCCUCAUCUGUUUAAGCCAUGGUCAGCUGGGUGCUGACAUCAAAUUCUAACUCCACCACUUCCUAGCUUGGGCUGGUUACUUUUGUUCUAGUUACCACUAACUUUUGUCCUGUGCCAAAUUUUGCCUAUCUAUAAAAUGGUACUAACUCACAGAACUAUUAUUGUGGCAGUGUCGGAGGGUGCAGCAUUUAGCUAUGCGAAUGGAGGUUAUCUAAGGAGACAGAAGUGGCGCAGUCCAAGGUAGGAGGCCAGAGUUGCUGUGAAAAGUGAGAGCUGACACGGCAACGUUUUGAGGACAACCCCGAAGAGGUAAGUGCAGAGAAACGAACUUGGGCCAUCCACAGGGUCCUGUUGAACCUCUAGAGAUGAACCACAAAGCUCUGGCUCUGGCAUCCUGGAGGCCAGCUCUGCCUUGAUUGGAUAGCUGAGUUGUGACACUCCCAGCAUCCAAAAAGCAAAAACGGACACGGGAAGUUCUUUUAUUUUUUUCGAGAUGGAGUCUAGCUCUGUCACCCAGGCUGGAGUGCAGAGGCACUAUCUCAGCUCACUGCAAGCUCUGCCUCCCAGGUUCACGCCAUUCUCCCGCCUCAGCCUCCCGAGUAGCUGGGACUACAGGCGCCCGCCACCACGCCAGGCUAAUUUUUUGUAUUUUUAGUAGAGACAGGGUUUCACCGUGUUAGCCAGGCUGGUCUCGAUCUCCUGACCUCGUGAUCUGCCCAUCUCGGCCUCCGAAAGUGCUGGGAUUACAGGCGUGAGCCACCGCGCCUGGCCUGACACGGGAAGUUCUGAUGCUAAUGCGUUCCAAUGCUCAACCAUUCCAACAUGGUUAUUCAAAUUGCUGUUUUGGGGCCAGGCGCGGUGGCUCACUCCUGUAACCCCAGCACUUUGGGAGGCCGAGGCAGGUGGAUCACGAGGUCAGGAGAUUGAGACCAUCCUGGCUA